UGGAGCAUGGGGUUUAAUUCGAUGAUAAGCGGAGCACCUCACCCAGGUUUGACAUCCCGAGGAUCUCGCAGAAAUGCGGGAGUGCCGUAAGGAACUCGGUGACAGGUGAUGCACGGUCGUCGUCAGCUCGUGCCUUGAGGUGUACUGUUAAGUCAGCUAACGAGCGCAACCCUCAUCCUAUGUUGUUUUUUCAUAGGAGACUGCCGCCUCCAAGGCGGAGGAAGGCGAGGAUGACGUCAGAUCUGCGUGUCCUUUAUGCCUGGGGCAACACCCGUGCUACAAUGGCCAGAACAAAGGGCAGCGAACCCGCGAGGGAGAGCCAAUCCCACCAAAUCUGGUCUCAGUUCGGAUUGAAGUCUGCAACUCGACUUCAUGAAGUUGGAAUCGCUAGUAACCGUGAAUCAGCUACGUCACGGUGAAUACGUUCCUGGGUCUUGUACUCACCGCCCGUCAAGUCAUGAAAGGCAGGGGCACCCGAAGCACCCUUAUCCUUCGGGAGGGGUACCACGGUGAAACUGCUGAUUGGGACUAAGUCGUAACAAGGUAUCCGUAGGAGAACCUGCGGAUGGAACACUUCCUUAC
rnacentral:rRNA from 1 species